GGUCGCGCGCGAAAGUGUACGGACGUGUACCGAGAAUUCAGAAUUACAGAGUUGGAGGGGCACGAUAUAAUGAAAUCAAUUGCCUAUCAAUGUAUGUGUCAAGGUCUCACUGCAAUAUUGUGAAGAAAGACAAAGGAUUAUACAUAAUAGAUGGUGGGGUAAGUUAUGUAAUGUAGAGACUCGAAGUUAAAAUAAACUGAUUACUUCCUUGUAAACAUUUGAG